GAUUAGGUUGUUUGUAUUACAAGCGCAAGUGGUGGUAUCGGUGAAGAGAUGACUAGUUCAUAAACUAGCAACGCCAUGUCCAUUCUUGUCUAGCAAUGCCAUGCCUUUUCAUGUCCAGUUCUGCAAUGCUAGUGGCUGACAAUGUAGGAUGUGCAUUUCUGUAGUAGAGACAAUCCUGGUAGGCAGUACUAAAAAUGCAAGAAUGGAACUCACUGACAUCACCACCAUCAAAGAACGAAAUAUUGAUCAAGAUGUUAGCUGAUCGACAAUCAAAUUGCACAAAGGGACUUGAUUUUGUUGUCAUCAACAUCUCAUGUUUAUUUUAUUUUAUUUUUAUUUUUAUUUUUCGUUUAUGUUUGUUGGUGGCGGACUAGAAAAGUGAACCAAAUUCUCACGUUUAAUAUUGUUUUGGGAAAAGCAAUAUAUAACGAUGUGAAAUGAACAACAUUGAAAUGGACCCACAAUGGCACAUUGUCUUCUUCAAUAUACUGUUACAGCUUAAAUCAUCUCUGA